rnacentral:rRNA from 1 species
CAGUCGUACCUUCGGGUAAUCAGCCUUUCGGGUGCGAUUCUGUGGAGUGUGAGGAGCUUAACACCUUCAUGCUUUGCAUAUUUGUGCUCUUGGGUGUACUUGCCCGUGUGGUUGGUUAACAUCAAUUUUGGUUAUCAUAAAAUGAUUGGAGGAAUGUAGCUUCGAUCUCGUAUUGAAGUGUUAUAGCCUUCGGUAGAUGUGAUGAUCGAGAUUGAGGAUUGCAACGGAUACCCUUUAGGGCUAUUCGUCUGAUCUCUGAUACGUUGCCUUGAUGUUGAAAGCUUGCUUAUGAUGUUAGGGUAUUACGGUCAAAAGGUUAGAACGAAUUACA